AUAUAUUAUUAUCGUGUUCUUGUUUCAGGUUUAGCAGAAGAGUUGUUGGCAGUGACCUACCACAUGUAGAAGCACCUGACAAUGUGGAUGCUCCACGGAAUGUUAUGCAGCGGAUGCAAUAGUUUCUUCACUAGUAAGUUAGCGCUAGUUUUUUCUAAUACUUAAAAACAAUUGUUCAUCAUAAGUUGCAGGAAUUGCAUCCUAGCAAUUGUGCGAGAACCAAAGAGGGUUACACCAGAUCGUCUUUACUACAUGAACACAUCAUUGCUAAGUUUACUUACAACCGAAAGGAACCUCAACUAUAGAGGCACACAUUGAAAAGUUUGAUAGGGCUAAUCAAGGUGCAGAAUCAACCAUACCAAGACGAGCAGUUCACUAGCCAGGGAAAAGAUUGAAGUAAUUGUUUUCGAAGAUCUCGACAAACACAAGUGAAGUCGUGGCCAGAGGAACUUUAGUUAAUAAACAUACCACAUAUGUGGUUUGAGGAAGCAUGCUUGGAGAGCAAUAUUUUGGUGUUUCUGUUCAUCACAGCAUUUCAAAUCUUGACGAUGAGAGACUUAUUAGAUUGUAUGGAAAGAAUCCAAUCCAGACAGUAAGGGAUACUAUUGAUUAUGUUAUUGCUUGGCCUCAAUCACAUGUCAAAAAUACCCGAGCCAAUCGCUCCAACAACACUACAAAAACAUUCCUACUCCAACACAACCAGAAAAC